rnacentral:rRNA from 1 species
CCAAUAGCGUAUAUUAAAGUUGUUGCAGUUAAAAAGCUCGUAGUUGAAUUUCGGGAUCAGUACGCUGGUCGUGCCUCUGGUAUGUACUGGUGUUACUGGUUCCUCCCUUCUGACGAACUGUCAUGUCAUUAAUUUGGUGUGGCGGGGAAUCAGGACUGUUACUUUGAAAAAAUUAGAGUGUUUAAAGCAGGCCCGCGCUUGAAUACAUUAGCAUGGAAUAAUGAAAUAGGACGUUCGAUCCUAUUUUGUUGGUUUCUAGGAUUGACGUAAUGAUUAAUAGGGAUAGUUGGGGGCAUUAGUAUUCAAUUGUCAGAGGUGAAAUUCUUGGAUUUAUUGAAGACUAACUACUGCGAAAGCAUUUGCCAAGGAUGUUUUCAUUAAUCAAGAACGAAAGUUAGGGGAUCGAAGACGAUCAGAUACCGUCGUAGUCUUAACCAUAAACUAUGCCGACUAGGGAUCGGAUGAUGUUAUUUUUAAUGACUCAUUCGGCGCCUUACG